rnacentral:lncRNA from 1 species
GGAGGCAAGAUGCUGGCAUAGCUGUUGAGCUGAGAACCUGCUAUGCCAACAUAUUGCCAUCUUUCCUGUCUGACAGCAGCCUGGCCUUCUGCACACCAUUCUUCCUCGUCUUGCUGCAGAUACGUGCCCUUCUAUGGAUGUGGGUUUUCUUGAUAUACCACCUUCCCACCGUGUACUGGGACACUCGCCCUGUUCUGGCCAUGUUGACCUUUUUGGUUAUUCUUGGAUUCCACUGAGGAUGUUCCUGCCUCUUAGUUUUCUUUCUCUCAUCAUUGGAGUCUCAGCAGGGACUCACAUCUCAGAGAAGCCUUCCUUAAUUACACUGUCUGUCACAGCUGUCAUGUACCCCAUCUUCCUCCUCCCAUUACGCUGUGGUACCUUCAGAAUCCUAGGUCACUCACUGAAUGUGUCUGUUCUCGUGUUUGCUAUCCUGUUUCUUGCACUAGAAUAUGAAUUCCUCAAGGUUAGGGUUUGUCUAUUGACCCAUUGUAUCCCCAGCACCAGACACCUAGUAAGCCUUCAGUACGUGUGUUUGAAACUCCAAAGGAAUUUUAUUCUACAAUAGAGGGGUCAAGGAGUUACAUUUUUCAUGUUACCAAUGGCUUUGAUGUAACUCUGGCUCACAGGUAAUAAAGAAAUAAAGAGAUGAUGUUGAGUUCUUGGCCAGCAAGCCGAACACCUUAAAGCAGUCAAAAUAAAUGCUUUGUGGGGUCCACAGACCCAAGGCAGUAAGCAUAUUAUAAUGGAAAAGGCAUCAGUUUCAAAAUAAAAAUUUCUGUUCCAGUCUCCCCACUGGUGUUUUCCUGCAGGUCCUCAGACAAGUCACUUAGCCUCUGAGCCACUGUUUUAUCAGUUGUUAAAAGAAAAUAUUGAUACCAACUCCACAGGAUUCUUGCAAGGGAUAUUUUAACCAGAAGGUUUUUACCUUGCAUCUAAAAGCAUGUCUAUAAAAUUUCUGAUAUAUAUGCACUAAUAAACAUCCCACAAAUUUUAAGUAUUUUACUUUCUAGAAAUUUUUUUUUCUUCAGUUAGAAACAGAUAAUUUUAAGUAUGUCAAAACUGUAGUACAUGUAGAACUCUGUAUGAGACAAAGAAAUCUGGAGCAACCAAGGAGUUAAGAAGGAUUUCAAAUUCUUCUUCUGGUUAGUUCACACUCUUCACCUUCUUUAUUUCUAAAGUUACUCAUUGUCGGGCUAGGGUUAUAGCCCAGUGGUUGAGCGCUUGCCUCGCAUGUGUGAGGCACUAGGUUUGAUCCUCAGUGCUACAAAAAUAAAUAAAUAAAACAAGAUAUUUUGUCCAUCUAUAACUUAAAAAAAUAUAUUUGUUUAAACAGUCACUCAUUGUGGACUUCUGACCUUUAAAGAUUCACUUUCUUACAGAGUAAGAGUACUUGAUAGGGAGUUGGAUGGUAGAGCACUUGCCUAGCAAGUGUGAGGCACUGGCCUCAAUUCUCAGCACCACAUAUAAAUAAAUGAAUAAAAUAAAGGUUCAUCAACAUCUAAAAAUUUUUUUAAAAAAAGAGUAUAAAACUCUGCUUUUAACAAACUAAAUUUAUGUUAAUUUUGAUGCUUUUCUAAGAAACAGAAAAAUGAUCAUACUUCUCAACUGAUACUAUUUAUUGUUACUCUGGGUAUUAGAACUGUAAUAUUCAGAAAGUGCUGGUUAUAUCUUUAUUUCAUACUUCUGAAAGUACAUCAAGUGAAGUUGUUCAUUUAACAAAAUUGUAAAGCUCAACACUGUGACAAUUUUAGUCUAUAGCUUUUGUAAGUGUUCUGUGUUAGGAGCCAUCCAUGGGCUGUGUGUGUGAGCUAUGCGCAUUUGAGUGUAUGAGGGGACUGGUCUGGCGUUGCUUGCUGAUUGGGCUGUGCAAAGCAAAUGUGCCUUUUCUCGCACUCUGCCUGUGAUCCCGCACAGCACCUGAGAUGGGUGUGAUUUGCCAAGGUGUCAAUCAAUCUGCUGACCACAGGACAUCACCAAGAAAGACUCUACCUUCGAAACCCUACCCCUUGCCUUAUUUGGGUGGAAUCUUCUAUCGAAAGUCUUCUCCCCAAUAAAUAUGGGGGUUUCGGGUGUGCUCGCUCUCUUGCCUCUUGCUCUUUCCAGCACUGCCCAGUGUGGAGCUGAGGUGAGGUCACAGAGCCAA